GAUUGCAGGCUGCAACCCGCCUGCAUGAAGUCGGAAUUGCUAGUAAUCGCGGAUCAGCAUGCCGCGGUGAAUACGUUCCCGGGCCUUGUACACACCGCCCGUCANACCAUGGGAGCCGGUAAUACCCGAAGUCAGUAGUCCAACCACGUGAGGACGCUGCCGAAGGUAGGAUUGGCGACUGGGGUGAAGUCGUAACAAGGUACC
rnacentral:rRNA from 1 species